rfam:Schistosoma mansoni, Puerto Rico, WGS project CABG01000000 data, contig: 0080
GACCUUAUUUAUUCUUGCUGGGAUUUCGUCACACACCAGACCACAAGAGCUGAGAGACUCCUAAAAUAAGUGAAGCG